UACGAAGGGUGCAAGCGUUACUCGGAAUUACUGGGCGUAAAGCGUGCGUAGGCGGUUUGUUAAGUCCGUUGUGAAAGCCCUGGGCUCAACCUGGGAAUUGCAGUGGAUACUGGCGAGCUAGAGUGCGGUAGAGGAUGGUGGAAUUCCCGGUGUAGCGGUGAAAUGCGUAGAGAUCGGGAGGAACACCCGUGGCGAAGGCGGUCCCCUGGGCCGGAACUGACGCUGAGGCGCGAAAGCGUGGGUAGCAAACGGG
rnacentral:rRNA from 1 species